AAACCAUGACAGCCUACUACAAUCGCUGUCCGCCUGGGUACUACAAGCCUAGCUUAAAACCCAAAGGACUUGGCGGUGCUUAAGAUCCACCUAGAGGAGCCUGUUCUAGAACCGAUAACCCCCGUUAAACCUCACCCUUCCUAGCCCUAACCGCCUAUAUACCGCCGUCGUCAGCCUACCCUGUGAAGGCCCCAUAGUAAGCAUAAUUGGCCCACCCCAAAACGUCAGGUCGAGGUGUAGCACAUGGAAGGGGAAGAAAUGGGCUACAUUUUCUAAUCCCAGAAUACACGAAAAAUGGCCUGAAAAGUCUAUUAGAAGGAGGAUUUAGCAGUAAGGAAUGAAUAGAGUACAU
rnacentral:rRNA from 1 species